AAAAUUAAAACAAACUUCCAAUCUGAUCACAGCUGGAAUCUAAUCAACAUAUCCGCACUAAAUGCACCGAUUCCGGUCCCAAGAAAAGCGGUUUCCAAAACCCAUCAACUAUCCCACUUCCAUUUUCUAUUCCCACCCAAAGACCACCUAUCGAACAGCACUCGGUCAGGUUCUCUUCUCCGCAGAUCCACCUCCGAUGUUCCUUGCUUAGGGACCCUUCCGGUCAGGUAUGCUCACGAUUCUUCUCUUAUCGCCUCUCUAGCUAAGUUGUGAGCCACUAGAUUUGUAGAUCUGUAGGCUAUUUGGUGAAAACAUUGCUUUUGUUGCUAAAUGUUUCGUAUUAUACUCCCAAUCAUCGAUUUAUCAAUCUUAUCUGAUUUACUUUUUUUUAUUACUGAUACCGAGUCUCCUUCGAUAACAACUAAUGUGAACCCCAUCUGUUUUCCCAUGAAAACUGCUUGGAGGCACGCAAGGGUCUCUAUUGCAAACGAAGAGGCCACCUCCCCGUGAACCACUGUUUUGAAUGCGAAGACCUCCCCUAAAAAAUUGCUAGCCACCACCCCUGAGAUUGAUUUUGCUCGAGAUUCAUCAAAAGGGGCGUCGAAAUUAAGUUUGACAACGGAACCAACUAGUGGGCACCAACCCAUGGACUCGUGCCUCGUGAUCACCCACAAAGAGCAACAAAACACUCGACAUUGUAUGCUGGAACUAUUCUUGAACACUCUGGUAAACUACUCCCAGUGUGACAAAUUUGUUCCUGUUAAUACCAAUUCCAGAUUCAAACUAAUCCAAACUUCUCACGUCAGAGGGCAAUCUCUGAAGAUAUGAUCAAUGUUUUCAUCAGCUGCUCUACCAUACCACCGAGGGCAAUCUCUUACACCGAAGAUUAACAAAGUGGGGAAUAAAAUUCCAAGAAAUUUCCAAAUUAGGACUUUCCAUGGAAUGUGAAUAUUCCACAGAUUUUUUUUUUGUAAAAUAUUUUAGCCUUAGCCUAUAAAUAAUUAGGAAAAAUGUCAUGUAAUAGUUUAUAAGCACUUUGCACAGAAAAUUCUUCAGAGGCCUCCCUUUUCCAUACCAUAAAGUUCACAUAAGGUUCUAUUGCUAAGGGACUUCGCACAAUUCUGUCUGCCUCUUCUUAGAGAAGGUAGAAUAAAUUAA